UGUACUUCUGUAGUAAAGCUUAUGGUGACAAGAGAGACAACUGAGCCAGGCUUGGUGGCUCAUGACAAUAAUCCCAGCACUCAGGAGGCAAAAGCUUGUGUGUGGUUCUGUGGGCUAACCUGGUCUGCGAAGCAAGUUCCAGUCCCACCAAGGUUGCAUAGUGUGAUUGUCAAAACCCCACAUUACUUCUGAGAAAAGUCCAAGUGGUACCCAAUGGCAGAGGCCUGUAUAGUCUCAGACGCUAGAGGCCUCAGUCACAGGAAGAUCUUUCAAGUUCUAGGCUAGUCUGGCCCAUAAAAUAUUCUCUAAAAGUCUCAGUAACUCGGGUAGGUCUAAAAGUGAUUUUCACAACUGAGUACUAAGUUGUGCAUUUAGAAAAGAAGUUCUUCUUAGUCAGGAGUAUUAACCUGAUGAGGUGAUUAAUAUUUGCAGUGCAAGGUGAGGGGGUGUCAUGGGAGCAUGGCAAUGACCCACAUUCUCUUGAGAACAAGGGUAACAAUGAUCUGAGAAAUAGAGCAACCCGUGGGUGGGUUGGGAUAUGAAAGGCCCAUUCUCUUCUACCUCAAAUAAAUGUGUAGCAGUACAGCUCUGUGUGUGUGUGUGUGUGUGCUCUCGCGCUCGUGCAUGCUCGGGUGUGCAUGUAUAGGGAUGUAGCAGUAUUGCUUGUGACUGGUUAGGGAGUUGCUUCAGCCCUGCUUCCCAGCAGCGAGCAGCACUGGGGUGGGAGUGUGCUUUGGAAGGGCACAGGCCUGAACUUGGCAGCACAUUUUGCACUGCUGGAAAUCUGGAUGUCAGUGACACCAUGUGAAACCUAAACCUCAGAGCUUAAGAGGCACUCGUGGCCACACAAGAAAGCACAGGCUUUUUCCAGAAGUGCCUGACCCUCAACCUUCUCAUGUCAAAUUAAGAUGCGAUUUGUAGGGAAGACUCAGUAGAUAUUAAAUUAAGAUUUGAUUUGUAGGGAAGACUCAGUAGAUGGUUGUUAAUGAGCUUAAGACCUAGGACUUGUGAUGGGUAUUUUAGCCAAGUGAGUCUUCGUGUUUUAUGUGUACGUGUUUGGGUGAAUGUUGGCCAUGUGUGUAGGUGCCUGAGGAUGCCUGUGGCCCCUUGGAGCUGGAGUUACAGGUGAGUGAGCCCUCCUACACAGGUGCUGGGAAUCGAACUUAUGUCCUGGAAGAGCAGCAAGAUACUCUUAGGCAGGAGUCCCUGUUGUCAGACCUGUUGGAAGUAAGUAAAUCUUAACCAAGACUUUGAUUUGCUGUCACUGGGAGGUGGCAUUCCUGUGCUUUGCCAGCUCAGCUGCCGCCUUGGAGCAGUGGGGACUGGAGAGUUGAAACAAGGGCCUGUGGCGAAUGUUUAGUCCUGGUGCUCAGGAGACCAAGGUGAGAGGACUGAAUCCAAAACCAGCCUCGAUUACAAAGCCUGGCUCAAGGACAAUACAGCAAAACAAGUGAACCCACUUAGUUAGGUUUUAUGUCUGCCUUGAAUUAUGACCCAGUAAUAAGGGGAAGAGAUGGUGAGAAGCAGUUGAGCAAUCAGGGCUUCCAGGAGCAGGCAGGGCCUCGGGCAAUACCUACGGUAUUGAGCCAAGGAGCCCAUUUCCUGUCCAGUGCCUAGGGUGGAAUUGCCCCCCCGAAGACCCAGGUGGCAUUCAGAACAUAGUAGCACCCCUGCUUAGUGAGCUUAGUUGCCCUCUACAGAGCUGCCCCCCCCCCCUCAGGGGAUGAGUUUACUGUCUUAGCAAGCUGCAUUUUAUGAGCUAUGGGGAAGGGGACAGGUGGUUCUGUGUGUGUGCAGGAGCUGUCCACCAUGGUUUUUUGCUUUUUUUUUUUUGAGACGUCUCACUGUGUAUUCCUAACUGUUCUGGAACUUGCUGCGUAGCUUAACCUCUUUUUAACUCACAGAGGUUUGCCUUCCUCUGCCUGCCAAAUGCUGGUAUUUAAGGCGUGUGCCACCACACCAGGCUCUACCUUGAUUUUUUUUUUUUUUAAUAAGGCUUCUCACCUGUUACUCUGAUUAAGCUGUGAUUAAGUCAGUGAGCUCCAGAAACCCACCCAUCUGCCUCCGUGUGACACCAUGUGUGUUCUACAGACUGAAUUCGGGUCCUCACUUUACAGAGCAGUUUCUCCAGAGACCAGGUUUCUGUGUGUCCUGGAACUUGCUCUGUAGACAAGGCUGGCCUCACUCUCAGAGGCCCACCUGUCUCUGCCUGGUGGGAUUAAAGGCAUGCACCAACACCUCUUGGCUGCUAAUGUGAUGUUUUAAUACCUAAAACUGCCACUUUCUCUGAGGUCCUUUGGCACUCUGUAUUCUGUGCGUUGGUAUUUUUGCCCCAGGGGCAGUGUUUUGGGUGGAAACAUGCCCUGUUGCCAGGCUAUGUAUGUGCCAUGUAUGUAUUACGAACUCACUGUUCCUUUUCAUUUGACUCACACUUGUGGAAUGACGAGUCCCCAUGAUACUCCCGGGUGUUCUGAGACCUUAGCUUCACGUGCCUUCUCCUCCUUGCACAUGUGCCUGUGUGCCCCACCUCUCUCUCAUGCUGGGUUUUGUCAAGACCUGUCCCCGUUGAGCACUGUAAGUGAACAGAUUCACCCCCUUUCAUUUUGUUUGUCCGUUUGUAGCUCUGUCGUAUUCCUGUCAUAAGCAGGGUCUUCCUAGAGGACUCUGCCUCUCUCAUGGUUCAGCCUGGAGUUGGAAUUACCACCGGGCUAGGUUGUGACUUCUUAAGGAACUGAGAAAUGACACUUUGAAGUCCCCAUGAUGGUUGAGUCAGUGACUGGGGAUAGCCGUCCAUCAGUUUCAGAUCCUGUGACGUUUCAGUACAGGAAGUUCUUGGGAGGCUGGGGCUUGAGAGGGGGGGGCAUGUGUGAGGAGGAAGACCCUGGUCUAAGACUUUCUUCCUGCUUGUCCCUAGUCCAUUUUAGGCAUUAUCCUCACAGAACAACUGAUUUCUCACAAGCUCAAUAUUCAAGCUUCACCAUGCUAGAAGAGAGUGGUCUGUUUCCUCCCUCCCUGCAUCCAGGGUUCAGUUAAAUCCCAUCAUCAUACUACCUCAACAGACUUCCCCCUUCACUCCUCCCACCUCCAGGAUCUUGCUGGUCUUUGCUUCAUCUUUAGAUUAAUAUUUUGGAAACAACUCUGGCCUUGUAUCUCCCACACUGUUUUCUCUCACCAGUCCCAUAGACUGUAAGCCCCCUGUGGCAGGUUCUAUGAAUGAGUCAGUCGCCUGUGUUAACCUACAAUGGUACCUACCAAUAAAUAUUCAUGGCUG
rnacentral:lncRNA from 1 species